rnacentral:rRNA from 1 species
CCUACGGGUGGCAGCAGUGAGGAAUAUUGGUCAAUGGACGAGAGUCUGAACCAGCCAAGUAGCGUGAAGGAUGACUGCCCUCUGGGUUGUAAACUUCUUUUAUAUGGGAAUAAAACGUUCCACGUGUGGGAUUUUGUAUGUACCAUAUGAAUAAGGAUCGGCUAACUCCGUGCCAGCAGCCGCGGUAAGACGGAGGAUGCGAGCGUUAUCCGGAGUUAUUGGGUUUAAAGUGAGCGUAGGUGGGUUGAUAAGUCAGUUGUGAAAGUUUGCGGCGCAACCGUAGAAUUGCAGUUGAGACUGGCAGUCUUGAGUACAGUAGAGGUGGGCGGAAUUCAUGGUGUAGCGGUGAAAUGCUUAGAUAUCACGAAGAACUCCGAUUGCGAAGGCAGUUCACUGGACUGCAACUGACACUGAGGCUCGAAAGUGUGGGUAUCAAACAGGAUUAGAUACCCUGGUAGUC